AUUGAACGCUGGCGGCAUGCUUUACACAUGCAAGUCGAACGGCAGCGCGGGCUUCGGCCUGGCGGCGAGUGGCGAACGGGUGAGUAAUGCAUCGGAACGUGCCCAGUAGUGGGGGAUAGCCCGGCGAAAGCCGGAUUAAUACCGCAUACGACCUGAGGGUGAAAGCGGGGGACCGAAAGGCCUCGCGCUAUUGGAGCGGCCGAUGUCGGAUUAGCUAGUUGGUGGGGUAAAGGCUUACCAAGGCGACGAUCCGUGGCUGGUCUGAGAGGACGACCAGCCACACUGGGACUGAGACACGGCCCAGACUCCUACGGGAGGCAGCAGUGGGGAAUUUUGGACAAUGGGGGCAACCCUGAUCCAGCCAUGCCGCGUGCGGGAAGAAGGCCUUCGGGUUGUAAACCGCUUUUGUUCGGGAAGAAAUCCUCUGGGCUAAUACCCCGGGGGGAUGACGGUACCGGAAGAAUAAGCACCGGCUAACUACGUG
rnacentral:rRNA from 1 species